UCGACGCGCCAUCUCUGCUCUCAUUCCCGAGCCGCUCCUCCGCGAAGCACUUCCAGUCUUUGUUGCGUGCACUCGACCCAGAGACUGCUCGGCGCAAGCUUAUUCGUGGCUACGGAAAUUUGUGAGUGGCACCCUUAAGUGCUCAGCUGUGCGACAGAGCGCCUUCGGCAACAACGUGCCAUUGCGGCAUUACAGGGUCCCAACUCGAAAGAGCGACGACAAAACGGAAAGCGAACUGCACCUCCUGAACGACACCUCUCUAGCUGGCUUGACUGGAGUUACAGCGGCGCUGCAGCCAUGAGCUCUCUUGAGAAAUUCUGCUGCGCGUAGAAGGAGGACCGUCUCGAGCUGCGGCCCUGACAUCCGGUGUCUGCCCUUUCACUGUGCCGACCUCGUCUUCACUACCACUCCCGUCGUGGGCGUCGAUGACCGUGCCAUCCGACCCGACAGAUGCGCCAUAUUUGGCACUUCUGCUGCUUCUACCGGCAGCGAUACCGCACGUUAUCAAGAGCGUACUGUUUCUUCUGUUAAUGUUGCUCGUGGUUCCUAAGGCGCGUGCGUUUGUGCUGCAGAUUUUAUGCGCGUUCUUCUGGAUGGUGGCAGUAUGCCUCAAGCUGUGCGAUACAAUUUCUGCGCGUUUAUGGCAUGACUUUGUAAGGACGUGGGAGUCGCUGAGUGAAUUUCUCGCGUAUUCCUUGAUUGGAUGCUUGCUUGCUUGCUGCGCGAUCGUCGGCGGGAUUGUGUUCUUAUCUGUGUAUGGGAUUGCGAAACUGGUCCAACGACCCGCGACUUGGCUGGCUCACCAAUUGCUGGUGCCUCUGGGAAGGGCCGCUUGUCACUGCUGCUGGUGCACUUGCUGCUGGACUGAAGAAAAUUCGUCUCCUCUGGACGCCGGUAACGAAACAUCGCGGCAAACAUAUCCGGACACUAAAAGUGUCGAAGAAUAUCGCGAUUGCGAAGGAAGCGAUACCGCGAGCACCGGGAGCGAAUGUCUCCAAAUUCUCGUCGAGGAAUCCGCGUCUCGCUUACCGCAGUACGACACACCCACGGACACUGCAACCAUCAUCGAGAGCUCAGAUGCCGGUCAGCGUUUGACGAAUGCUGUAAUGCCCGAUAUGCCUUCUGGGCAAAUGAAAGAAAAAGAAAAAAAACUCACCUCUAACCAUGUCUCUGAUGUAAACAAAGUACCAAGAUAUGUGACUCAUUUGGAUUCCUCGCCUGCCUAAUAAUUUUCUCUUCUCAAAAUUAUUAUUUAUUUUUGUGUGUGCGUGUAUUGCACAUGCACAGAACGCAUAGUUGAUUGGAUAUUUGGUUGCUGAUGAAUUGAUGAAGUGUUGAUUUGAUAGUUUAUUGUAUAUUUGAAGUUGCGCAAGGUUGUUAAGCCUGUCCGAAUCGCCAUUGCAAAAAAAUAUUUCAUUGGGCCCAAAACAAGCCUAUGGAUCCCCUCAGUGUUUGCAAAAUUUGUUUUUAUAAAAAAUACACAUAAAUCAAUCAAUCAAUCAAUCAACCAAUCAAUUAAUCAAACAAACUCAAAAUAAUACUAUAUCUCUCACACAUUUCAAGUGCCUUUUAUAAUAAAGGGAGGUUUAUGUUUCUUUUCUGGACGGUAAUGUGGCGCCACGAAGUGCGAUGUUACUUCACCAUAAAGCAAUAAUAGAGACGCAAAUUUUAGAGCCAACGUUGAGUUAUUUUGUGUAGUCGGUUCUUUUCUGUACUUGGGCUUCAUGAAAGGUUACCUUUCACUGAAAGCACACAGUUUUAUAAAAGUGGUUCAAUAAUUACUCAAUUAAUAUCUUGUGUCUUCCGUGAAUGCACUCCCUCCACUGGCACCUGCUGAUUGAUUGCUACUUGUCAAGUGAAAUAUUUAGAUCUCGAAAGCCUCAAAGGGGAAAUGAACUCACUGCCAUAGUGUAUCACUUUACAAUCAGAACAUACUAAACUAUGGGAGCUCCGUUUUGACUCGUUUUGUCCGCACGCGUUGUUUCCUUCAAACAUUGCUCAGCCAUCCUUAGGUAAAGCACUGCAGGCACCUAACUGGUUAGCGCGGACCACACAAACCGCUUGAUCGAAAGUUUAAACGCAAGUUAAUGAACGACCAUUAACCCGACUAAUCGUUUCAACUGUUUAAAUAUAGCGUGGUACACGCCAGUUAGCGUGAGUUCGAGCGUUUCUUGCACGUAAGGUUUCUCAAUUUCUUCGUGCAUGCCUUUCCCGCUUGUUCUCGCAAAGUUCGUGUAUUUCAUGGCUCAAAAUCUAAUCUUGCUCCUUUAUUUAUGCCUGUAUAUCCUACUGACCAGUUGAAAGCUGUACGUGGCCUAAUAGUUUCACGUAUUUUGCGCGAUCGCGUCCUUUUCCCCCGCAAUCUGUCUAGCUUACGUAGGCAGAUUGCGCAAAUAAAUAUUGCGACAUAUUCUUGUUGAGCGUUAUCGGCGCCUGUAUUGUUUUCUUUUUCUUGUGCAAGACGUUCGUAACGGACCUGUGUACGUACAAAUGCCAGGCAAGCCUACUUAUUACAUUUCAAUUUUGCCUGCAUCUGAAAGCCUCUUCACAGCCUACGUAUUUAUAGAACAACGCGAACCUGGGCGUAACCUAGCGUUCCUGAGUCAUUUGCGUUUGCGCACGUUGGAGGAUAAGUGUAUACGCUAAA